rnacentral:lncRNA from 1 species
AGGGGUAAUACCAUGUUUAGCAACUUGGAGACUUUGAAUCGAAGAUGUAGAGCAAAGAUGGAGGGCCUUAAUGAAUCAGUUGAAGAUGUUUUGUCCAUUAAAUCUUGGCUGCAACAAUUGGCAAAUAAUGUUACAAAGACAAAACUAUUGAUGUGUGAGGAGGAAAAUAUCCUAAAAGAUAUGGGCAUUCCUUGUGUGGUAAGGAAACUAUUACUUGUAUGCUUGGUGACCUGGAAAAAACCAAUGGCUGGGAAAGUAAAGAUCAAUGUAGAUGGGAGUAUUUUGGGAAACACAGGAUAGGCAGGUAGAGGGGGAGUGAUACACAAUGACAAAAUAAUGGUGCUAGUGAUGUUUGCAACUAAUUUUGGGAUAGAGUCGAAUAACGAAGCUGAGCUGAGAGCUAUUAUUGAGGGGCCUAAACUUUCCCAACGUAUAGGCAUUUUUUAGGUUGAUAUUGAAUGUGAUUCCAAAAUUGUUGUGGAAUGGAUAUUGAAAUGCAAGCGCACAAUUUGGUAUUUGUGGGAUUUUUGGGAGGAAUAAUGAGUUUAUUUGAGAUACAGGUUUCAUACCAAUUUAGGGAAGCAAAUAAAGUGGUGGAUUCAUUAGCAAAAAUGGGGGCAUAAGGUGUGAUGCAGCAUUUUACAUCUACUAAUGACUUGCCUGUGCAUGCUCGUGGCUUUGUUCGGUUGGACUGUAUAGGAAUGCCAUAUUUACAUAAGUGAGUUGAUUUGUCUAGGUUUUUAGUUUGCUAUUUAUAAGGCUAUAUUGUCACCACGGUAUUCCUCCACCAUAAGUGAGGUCUAUUUUUAUUAAAUUAUUUAUUUAAAAAAAGUAAAUAAUGCACAAGGAUAAUCUUUGCAUGACUCUACUAAUGGUAAAAUAGAAGUCUUCACUUACUGUGCAACUAGAUAGAGUUGAAUUAUUUCCUGUGGGGCGAAGCCAAUUGCGAUUCUCCGUGCAAUAUAUAC